rnacentral:misc_RNA from 1 species
GAAAAAUUUAUCAAAUUAGCUUUCAAUGGUUCAAACGGAUUGAAAAGCCGAAUUCCGGUCAAAAAGUUACGCAUUUUCGAAACCUAAGUGCCCUUUUGACACUUUCUGUCUAGAGAGCACUUCGGCAGCCGAAAGUGGAAAGUUCGACUGCCGAAGUUCAUUAUUUAAAUCAUGGUUUUUGAGCGUUAAAAGCUAUUUUGUCCAGAGAGCACUCUGGCAGCCGAAAGUAGGAACUUCGACAGCCGAAAGUGACUUUUCAAAAGCUAUUUUUUGGC